rnacentral:lncRNA from 1 species
UAAAAAUGUUUUUAAGGCUGUUAAGUCAAACAUUCUUCAGCUAAAAAAUGCCAGAACUGGAACUGCUAAUUCAACCAUUUUAUAUGCUUAAAGAAACACACUGUAAUUAAAAGAUCAUCUCUCUCUCUCUCUCUCUCUCUCUUUUUUUAGGAUGCCUGAUUCACCCAGAAAAAUAAACAGAAUAAGUAAAACUACUUUUGUAACAAUUUUGAUGCAUAAACUGGUUUUGGCAACCUAAUGCAUGUGCCUCAGUGUUUGACAAGGAUAAUCUACAGGCAGAGGAUGCCUUCCUUACUCUGAGCACUUCCGUGCAGUUCUCCAUGCUGCCACCCUAGACUACUUCCAAAACCUGUCAUUUGAAGACAGAAGAGUCAUUUCCUCUACGUGUCAAUAUACAGCAGAGACUUACCUCAAGCAAAUCAAGAGGACAUCCUACACACAGAUAUGAAUGUGGCUUACUAAGAGUAUCAUAACUGAUCUGAACAUAUGCAAUAGAACUAAUGAAGCCUUUGGCUCACUGUGCCUGUGCCACCGUAUACAUCCUUGGAGAGAGAUUCCUGUCUGCCUUAUAAGAGGAUGGAGUGCCCCAUAAGACUACUUUUGACGGAAGUCACAGAAGACCACUUCUGGUUCUCCUUGGUUGAAACCCUCUGCUCUGGUGCAUACUGAGACAAAACUGUGUGCUGCUCUAAAAUGUAAAGGUUGGUGUGAAGUGACUUUGACUGGUCCUAAACCUAUUCAGUAAAGCUCAGCUACUUCAUGGUAGGUGCCUUAAUUCCCUUUUCUUAAUAGUUUAUUUGGCAUAACUAAACAGCUAUCACAAAUACAGAGAACAUGACACU